ensembl:lncRNA
AGAAGGAGUCAUGUUUCAGGGAUGAUUUUUACUGCUUAAUAUGAGGCAGUGUAGAAGUAGUAUCCCAUACUAAGCCUAUUUCUUACUAACAUUUUACUGCUUGAUAGUACCCCAUGGAUACACAGGCAAGCUGUUGGAUAAACCCUCUGCAGGGCGGUACUCACCCCUCUCUUCUCAAGGACAUCUCGUGCCUCCUUUUCUGCAUUCAGACCCAGAGUCCUCCCGGGGAAGCUACACCUGUGGCAAAGCACUGAGCUAUCACAGCCAGAGCUUCAGUGGUAUUCAGAGCUGCUCUGAGCCCAGCUUAACAGUGUGGUGGGAAAGAAAAACAAGACACCAGCCAGCCACAUGUAUGUAACAUCGCUGCCGCUUUUCCAGGUGGACCAAGUAAUAGAGCUAGCUGGGGAACUGGAGACGCAGAGAGGAAAGGUUACUAACACAGAUACUGCCUGAAAGUGAUAUCUAUCAGUAACAGUAAAUUAUCAAAAUCACUGGUUAAUAUUACAACACGUUUGUCAGAAGAAAGGUGAAGCAUGAGAACUCCGGUUCACUCUGUUGUCUCUCUGUGAUUUCACCACUCCCACUAACGUUUUCUCAAGCCUUUGGAGAAGACCUGCUCAUGGAACUUGUGAUCUUACUGUGUUCUGGCUGAAACCUGAGCAAGUUAGAGCUGCUGUUGGUACUGUUCCUGCAAGAGAGAUUUAGUGUUUUCAGUUUUAAAAAAUCUAUAUUUUUGUGCUGGUGCCAUCACGGGUGGUGUAUAGCGAAACUCAGAAGUCUGAGAACUGAUGAGAGGGUGCCAUGUUUGAAAUUCUAAACCCACAAGCAGUUACAGAGGGGAAAGCAGCCUGUUGGUAUUUUAGGCGAUAGUAAAGCCCCCAGAUAUUUAACUGUAUCAAUCAACUACCUGUUGUUGGGCAGGAUCAAGCAACAGAUUGCUUAUAGAUUAAAACAGCAGCAGUGAGAUAAAUGGAAUCCCUAUAUCUUCCUGAUCUUUAGUAUCACAUCGGGAGCUAAGAGAUGACUGUCCCUUUUGGCAGGAAAACAGGUAUUCGUUUAGCAGAGGUCAGGUUGAUGGAUAGACUUGUUGAUCUCUAAGGUUUUUUCCCAACCUAAAUGACUCUAUGAUUCUGUAAUUCCCUACAAUAUCCUUAAAAACUAAGUAAAUAAAUAAAAACCUGCUCAGAAACACUGUGUUUUGAACUACCCAAAAGGGAGGAUGCAGGAGAAAAAUCAGCCCACAUUUAAAAGUCAUUACUGUAACCGUUUGUCAUUGUGCUUUACUCAGCUAUUUAAUUCUGAGGCUGCUGUUCAUUGUUAGUUGGUACCAGAAAUCGCUCAGUGUCUCCCCCUUCUUCCAUGUAAAAGAGGAGGAGCUGUAGAUGUCCAUAGUGCCAAUGUCUGAGGCAGUGUGGAACUGAGCUGGAACUCGAUGCUGAAGUGAGGUGGCACACACAGGGCCUGCUCAGCCUUACAAGAAGCUGUACUGUGUGCUGGUUUAUUACUUUGCAAGUAGUAGUAUUGGUGUAUUCGAAGAACCAAUGCACACCUACUGCCCAAAUACUGUAAUAGCACUAUUACAAUCACAGAAUUCAGUUCUCUGUAUUGUAAACGGGAGAUGCAUCUCAAAUUUUGAAGCAAGAAUUCUCCAGGGAGGGGCGGUGACUGCUAUUUUAUCACCACCAAUGUGGCGAUACCAUACAUGGGGAAACCACACACAGCAGCACGCAGCGGUCCCUGCUCCAAAUGGUUUGUGUUCCAAGUCAUGGAUAAGUAACCGCAGGUGGAGACAUGGGGGGAAAUGGAAAAAAAAAAAAA